AAGGAGUCUAACAUGCUUGCGAGUAUUUGGGUGUCAAACCCGGAUGCGUAAUGAAAGUGAAUGGAGGUGGGAAGCGCAAGCUGCACCAUCGACCGAUCUGGAUUUUCUAAGAUGGAUUUGAGUAAGAGCACGUAUGUUGGGACCCGAAAGAUGGUGAACUAUGCCUGAAUAGGGCGAAGCCAGAGGAAACUCUGGUGGAGGCUCGUAGCGGUUCUGACGUGCAAAUCGAUCGUCAAAUUUGGGUAUAGGGGCGAAAGACUAAUCGAACCAUCUAGUAGAUGGUUACUGC
rnacentral:misc_RNA from 1 species